rnacentral:rRNA from 1 species
UACGUAGGGGGCUAGCGUUGUCCGGAUUUACUGGGCGUAAAGGGCGCGUAGGCGGCGUGACAAGUCACUUGUGAAAUCUCCGGGCUUAACCCGGAGCGGUCAAGUGAUACUGUCGUGCUAGAGUGCGGAAGGGGCUACUGGAAUUCUCGGUGUAGCGGUGAAAUGCGUAGAUAUCGAGAGGAACACCUGCGGCGAAGGCGGGUAGCUGGGCCGACACUGACGCUGAUGCGCGAAAGCCAGGGGAGCGAACGGG